GAUGAACGUUGGCGGUGUGCCUAAUACAUGCAAGUCGAACGGAGUUAGUAGCAAUACUGGCUCAGUGGCGAACGGGUGAGUAACGCGUUGGUGAUCUGCCUUGAAGUGUGGAAUAACGUUUCGAAAGGAACGCUAAUACCGCAUGUGCUCUCGAUUUUUCAGAAAGUUGAGAGUAAAGGAUUUAUUCGCUUCAAGAGGAGCCUGCGUCCCAUCAGCUGGUUGGUAGGGUAACGGCCUACCAAGGCUAUGACGGGUAGGGGACCUGAGAGGGUGGCCCCCCACAAUGGAACUGAAACACGGUCCAUACACCUACGGGUGGCAGCAGUAGGGAAUAUUAGAAAUGGACGAAAGUCUGAUCUAGCAACACCGCGUGUGCGAAGAAGGCCUUCGGGUCGUAAAGCACUUUUUGGAAGGAAUAGGAAGGAAUGUACUUCCAGAAUAAGUCUCGGCUAACUACGUG
rnacentral:rRNA from 1 species